GUACAGCUGCAUCUGGAACAUCUGACCACAAUAGCCAAAAACCUCAGGCUCCAAAAGUAAUAUAAUCAAAGCAUCUCAGUAGGAAGAUGUACCCCAAUUCACCAACUGCAUUUGUCCAGAAUAAAAUCCACAGACCCAACACUUUCUCUUUCUGGCUUCCAUAAUUUCUUCCUAACGUUACACCAAAGGGAAAACGCUACUUUCUUCUGAGAAGGGUUCCAGGAAUGUUUCUUUUUGUUGAUUUGAGGACACUUUCUUCUUAAUUGGGAAUACUGGUUAACGCUGGUUUUCUCUAAAAAAAAUACUUUUGCAAAUAAA